GUUUUGUCCCGAGCGUUGUUUUUUCUCUGAUUAUAUAAUCAUUCCUUUUCAGAGAGCUGUAUGCAGACUGUGGAGAGCAGGAGUGCCCGGCCUGAUCAUUUUUCGUAGAGAUUGUCCCUGAUGGAGCCUAGCCUGAGAGUGACCUCACAUCAUGCUAGCCAGGAGCUCAAUGUCCCUCUGCAAGGAGAAUGAUGCCAGAGGGCUGUAUGCAGCCUGUGGAGAGCAGGAGUACCCAGCCUGACCAUUGUUCGUGCAGAUUCUCCCUGAUGGAGCCUAGCCUGACAGUUACCUCACAUCAUGCUAGCCAGCAGCUCAAUGUCACUCUGCAAGGAGAUUGA
rnacentral:lncRNA from 1 species